rnacentral:rRNA from 1 species
UAGGGAAUCUUCCACAAUGGACGCAAGUCUGAUGGAGCAACGGCCGCGUGAGUGAAGAAGGUUUUCGGACCGUAAAGCUCUGUUGUUGGUGAAGAAGGAUAGGGGUAGUAACUGGCCUUUAUUUGACGGUAAUCAACCAGAAAGUCACGGCUAACUACGUGCCAGCAGCCGCGGUAAUACGUAGGUGGCAAGCGUUGUCCGGAUUUAUUGGGCGUAAAGCGAGCGCAGGCGGAAGAAUAAGUCUGAUGUGAAAGCCCUCGGCUUAACCGAGGAAUUGCAUCGGAAACUGUUUUUCUUGAGUGCAGAAGAGGAGAGUAGAACUCCAUGUGUAGCGGUGGAAUGCGUAGAUAUAUGGAAGAAUACCAGUGGCGAAGGCGGCUCUCUGGUCUGCAACUGACGCUGAGGCUCGAAAGCAUGGGUAGCGAACAGGAUUAGAUACCCUGGUAGUCCAUGCCGUAAACGAUGAGUGCUAAGUGUUGGGAGGCUUCCGCCUCUCAGUGCUGCAGCUAACGCAUUAAGCACUCCGCCUGGGGGAGUACGACCGCAAGGUUGAA